rnacentral:rRNA from 1 species
GAUGAACGCUGGCGGCGUGCCUAAUACAUGCAAGUCGAGCGAACGGACGAGAAGCUUGCUUCUCUGAUGUUAGCGGCGGACGGGUGAGUAACACGUGGAUAACCUACCUAUAAGACUGGGAUAACUUCGGGAAACCGGAGCUAAUACCGGAUAAUAUUUUGAACCGCAUGGUUCAAAAGUGAAAGACGGUCUUGCUGUUACUUAUAGAUGGAUCCGCGCUGCAUUAGCUAGUUGGUAAGGUAACGGCUUACCAAGGCAACGAUGCAUAGCCGACCUGAGAGGGUGAUCGGCCACACUGGAACUGAGACACGGUCCAGACUCCUACGGGAGGCAGCAGUAGGGAAUCUUCCGCAAUGGGCGAAAGCCUGACGGAGCAACGCCGCGUGAGUGAUGAAGGUCUUCGGAUCGUAAAACUCUGUUAUUAGGGAAGAACAUAUGUGUAAGUAACUGUGCACGUCUUGACGGUACCUAAUCAGAAAGCCACGGCUAACUACGUG